CCUGCAGAGACCUAUAUUUGCUGCAGCCGGGUGUGCUUGCUCAGACGCGAGCCCGUGUAAAAAGCUGUGUGUGUCUCUUUAAGAGCGCAGGUGAAGGGUGUGGUCAAACAGAAAUGUUUAAAGUUUCCGGGAAAGCAAGCAAGUAAACAGGUUGAAGAUAGAAAUGAAUCGAAAGUGACACAAAAUAUACAGAAAAGUGUUUGAUGCGUUUGCCGGGAAACAAAGGGAAGCAAGCGAACUUGCCAAGGAAAAUAUUGUAUCCUAUAAUCUGAUGGGAUAUCCUUACAAUCUUAAAAUGAUUAUAUCUGCAAUAGUUCUACAUCUGCUUCUUCUGUCGCAUCAAACAGUUUCAGAGGAGCAGGUGCAGCGGUAUGUGAUUGGAGAGAAGGGGGAGAAUACUUCACUACAGUGUCUUGACCAGCCAGUUAAUGCGUCUUCACUUGUUUAUCGCUGGAAGAUAAAUGGGACUGUUGCUGUAACCCAAAACCCCUCGAAGCCAUCAGAGCAUCUUUCCAUUUCAAACAAUGGCUCUCUUUGGAUCAGUGGGCUUCAGUAUAUAGAUGAAGGCCAGUAUGAAUGUGAAUCCCAAACAAAGGAUGGCAGCUCAUGGCAAACUCUCUCAAACAUCCAGCUUCGAGUUGCCGAGGGUCCAACUAACGUCUCACUGGCCAUACAACCAGCAACUCUCUUACAGAAUGGAACGUUAUAUGUCAAAAACGACUCGGAUGUGAUUUUUAACUGUUCCAGUGAGUCUUUUCCCUCACAAAACUUGACCUGGACUGUUGAAGAUUUGGCGCUGGACAGUUAUGACAAGGCAUCUGGGAACAAAUCCUUCCUUGAGUUCUCCAUAACAAAAAUCCAACCAAGAAAUCAAGGGAUGUACACCUGUACAUCCCAGAAUACACUCUCCAAGAAAACUGUGAAGAAGAGACAGGAGGUGCUAGUUUACUAUGCUCCGGAGAGUCGUCCAGAGUGCAGUUGGGAGAUAGCUAACGAGACAUUCGAUGUCUUGUUCAUAUGUAGCUGGAAAGGAGGUUACCCUGUGCCCACUCUGGACUGGCAUGAGGUCCUUGAAGAACAUGUAAUAGCCAAGGGUCCCACGGUCAACUCCACAUCCCAGGAGACCGAGCGUUUGGAGGUCCAUGUGAAUAGGUUUAUAUUGCAUAGUGGAGAGGAAGUGAAGUGUAUUGGACAUCAUGUGACUGGAAAGGUGGAUUCCUGCUCCUUUAAGCUCAAGAUGCCAUACCCCAUCGGAGAUCCCAUGGUAAGCGCUUUGGUGGGCAGCAAUGUCACCCUCAGCUGUACUGAGUCUGAAUCUCUGCCACCGGCUAAGACUGUCUGGAGGCAAAAGGACGACAAAACCAUCAACACCAGCUCCAAAUAUAUUGUGUCUGUUAACAACAACAACACCUACAGUCUCAAAAUAAUCAAUGUAACUAAGGAAGAUGAAGGGAUCUACUUCUGCUACAGUAUAAACCCUCUUGGUCCAAAAGAGCUGGAAGUGUAUCUUACUGUGAAGACUUCUGAAGAUAAUAAAGGGGCCGUGGUUGGUGUCUUUGUUUCUGUUUUUAUAAUGAUGAUUGGUGUCGCUAUUGGUGCAACAGUAUAUUCAAAGCGGGAUAGAAUUUGUAUUGGUUUAGGAUUUAGGUAAGUAUGACAACAGCUCAUUUAUAAUCAAAGUAAUAUGUCACUAUUAUUCCAAAAUAUGAGUUUAUUGUCUUCAAACAUACUAUAACAUGUGCAAGUAAGUAAGGAUCCGUGAAGCUGAGGCAUUGUAACAUUUUCUUUCUAGUCAAUUAGAUGAUGAAAUGGGGGAUGUAUUGAGUUUAGUGGAUUCAGAUGAAGAGGAAAUUGUCCUUGAAACUGAACUGCCUCCGCCGUCAAACGGACAUACAACCACGCUCGUAGAGAUUCACAGAAGAUCGUCCAGUGAUCAUGAAGAUAACGCAGAGAGUACGGUGCAACAUAACGAUCAAACACAUCCAGAACCAGCACAACAGAUAGAAGAUGAUUAGUCAUCAAUGUAAUGUACAGAAAAAAAUAGAUUCUUCCAAUUGGUCAACUCUGCUAAAUUAUUUGUUUUUUGUGUGACAUUUUCCUUGUACAAUAUUCCAUCAAUCUGUGUAAAGUCUAAAGGUCUUAAACUCAUUUUAGAGGCCCUGUUUUUAUUUUCAGUAUUAGUUUUUAACAUUCUGGCCUCAAUUCAUGAAAUUAAAUUUUUUACUACACCAUGCUACAGUAUGUUAGUGAACUGUUACGAAAUGUUAUUGUUACUUAAACUGGUUUGAAUGAUCAAUUUCUGUAAAAUUGUAUGGGUGAAUCUCAACAAAAUAUGUCUGGGUAAUAAUUUGUGGCACAAUAAUAAUAAUACAAAUUCUUAAUUAUAUGAAGUCUAUUGUGUACCAUUGGAAUUUUUUUGCAUUGCGAAAUAAUUUUCAAGACAUUUUACUAUCUUGUGUGUUUUGCAAUUAAUAAUGAGAGUUGAGUACAAUUUUAGUAAUGUAUAAGACAAUACUUAGACUAGCUUUAAAUGGCACUAUAAAAUAAAAUGAAUUCAAAGCUGUAAAAUCACGAUGCCUGAGAUGUAAAUGAAAAGUAUAAAACACCGUAACAUUGUAAAUAAACAGUAGACACAC